ensembl:snRNA LOC120097198 U6 spliceosomal RNA
GUGCUUCCUUGAGCAGCACAUAUGCUGACAUUGGAAAGAUACCGAGAUUAGCUUUGCCCUUCUGCAAAGAUGGCAUGCAAGUUCACGAAGAAUUCCAUGUUUAG